GAGAGCGACCUGUAGACAUGGCUCGCUGCAGGGGGGUUGUUGCGUGAAGAGGAGGCUGUUUCUGACGAGCUGCUGCUCGAUAGUCCGGAGGGAGGGAGGUAACCAGGGGCAGUCGGAGCAGCUGCUGCUACCGGCUUAGGCUGCUCGGCUCCCGGUGAGAGAGGUGAAGGUGAGCAGGAAAUGCUCAGGGUACAAGAUAACGAGGCUCUGAUAUCACUUGUUAGACCUUUCAGCCUGAGCAUUGAUAGUUGUGGAUGACACUAGGAGAGUUGGGACAAUUUUCGUUGGUUUAUUUCUCACACAAUGCCAUGCCAACCUGAGGGGUUGGGGAUACAUAUUUAUAGGCUGCUAGCCAGCCAAGCAUAUGGUAAGAUGCUAUCCUAACUGCCAGUCCUUGGUGGUCAAGGAUUCUAUCCUAACAGCCACAAGGACCA
rnacentral:lncRNA from 1 species